rnacentral:lncRNA from 1 species
AGAUGAUACAGGAAGUAUAAAGAGGACAACGCAGAAGAAGCAUUAUGUUAAUAAUGUAUGAGAGAAUUAUCCCAUUCAAACUUUUGGUAACAACAUUACAAAGUCUAGCUCCCGUAUUUAUAGUGCUAUUCGUCCAAUCAUAAAUGGUUGAGUUUCAGAACACAUGGCAAAAUUAUCUCCACGUGUGGGCAUUCUUUACUACAUAAAUUUCCAUACAUAAUAAGCUUAGUGUUGUGGACGGCAAGUUAACGAUCCCUUGCGGUACUCCCGCAUCCCACGGUACGAGAGUAAACCUAAAAUAAUUGACCAUCACGAUUGCAAUUCGUAAUAUUAGUCUUCCAAAAAUAGCAGUAUGCGUAGCUUAUUAGCUAAGGUAUCCAUCAGAUCAUAAUAGACUUACACUAGCUGGAAAUAUCAAACAAACACUUGUUCAAUGCAAAUCUUACUUAACUGACCAAAUCAGCCAAUCACAAUGGUGGAUAGCCACUAAUAUCACAACAAUAACGAGUCCCGUAAAUUUUUACUAGAUAAUGAAUUAAAUAAUAAUAAAAAGUUAUGACCUCACAGAUUACGAGAUAAACAGUUGAAAUUAAAAAAAAAUACAAUAAAAACGAGCUCCAAGAUCGGACAAUAUAUAUAGAUAUAUAUUGCCGAUUUCGGUCAAUAAUAAUACCAGUCACAUGAAUAAAUUUUACUCAAAAUUAAUUCAAAUUAGACAUUGAUUCAGCCUCAUAAUCUACUUUUUUAUAGUGAGAAUCUCAUCAACAGUAACGCGGCAAGUGGCGGAAGCGUAGAGCUUGUUUUGUAAUUUAUGCAGAGCCUUUUUUUUUUUUUUUUGGGUAACACAUCGAUAUAUAUCAAACAAGGCCUGUGAGGCUGAUCCAUUUGAGAGAGAGGACGUGCUGUGUGCAGACAAGAGUCGAAGGAGAAAAAGAAGAACUAAUUUUUUAAAUUCUUAUUUUUAUUUUUUAAUUAAUGAGUAUUUUGAAAGGUUCAACCCAUUUUUUCUUUAAUUAAAAAUUAAAUGUUGACAAAAAAAAGUAUUGCCCACCGCCUCUGAAGGCCGGUUGAAAAUAACAGUUUUACUGCAUUUUUAUAAAUAAUACAUUUUAAAAUGCCAAACAUGCUGCUCAUUUAUUUCAAUGUCAAAAAAGGGGAAUCAUUAUUCACCCAAAAAAAAAACACUACACCAACUAUGUAUAAUAUUUAAAAUUCGAUAACAAACGUUUUUUCAGUAUUCAUAAAAAUAAUUUCUAAAGAAGUGAAAAAACUUAAAUGAAAAUAAUGCCGGAUGAAAGCUUAUUGCCUCAAAAAACAAGGUCUUUAUUGUAGUAUAUUUUAAUGAAUCAAACUACCAAGUUAGAAAUGCCGAUGAUUUACGGUGAUCUUCUUAUUAAAGAUUCUCUUCUAAGUUUUAAUAUCAAACUUUAUAUCUGCGUUGAACGCAAGACCUCGUAUUAAAUCAUACAAGAGUCUCUGCACAUGGAAUAUUUUUAAUUUUCCUUACCCGUGUUAUUUGUUAAUCCAUACAUAUAUUUUCUUAGUUUUCACUUUCUUGGUUAGUUACAUGAUUUUAUUUAGAAUCCGGCUACAAUAGAAAUGUUCUACCGUAUAACAAGAGCAAAGUUACAAUAUGUAUUUUAUUAUUUAUCAAUUUAAUCGUAUAAUUAUGUAAGAGUGCUCUACAGUGGAGCAUCGCUAACAUAAUUAUUACUUUUUGUUUGACAUGCAUUGAUUUCAACGGACUUUUUAAACUUUCUCAGGGAUUUCAAUAAGAGUGGUUAGUGAUUUCCACUUUCUCUACUAAUUAAUUUGGGACAAAACUACUUUGCAACCGUUGUACCAAACCCCAAAUUUAGUAUCUGCUUUAAGAGUCCCUAUUGUUUUUUUGUAAUUAAUAAAAAUUUUAAAUUUUAAAA